GGACUACUGGGGUAUCUAAUCCUGUUUGCUCCCCACGCUUUCGUGCCUCAGCGUCAGUGUUGAUCCAGAUGGCCGCCUUCGCCACUGAUGUUCCUCCCGAUCUCUACGCAUUUCACCGCUACACCGGGAAUUCCACCAUCCUCUAUCACACUCUAGCUUGCCAGUAUCCAUUGCCAUUCCCAGGUUGAGCCCGGGGCUUUCACAACAGACUUAACAAACCGCCUACGCACGCUUUACGCCCAGUAAUUCCGAUUAACGCUUGCACCCUCCGUAUUACCGCGGCUGCUGGCAC
rnacentral:rRNA from 1 species